rnacentral:rRNA from 1 species
ACUCCUACGGGAGGCAGCAGUGGGGAAUAUUGCACAAUGGGCGCAAGCCUGAUGCAGCCAUGCCGCGUGUAUGAAGAAGGCCUUCGGGUUGUAAAGUACUUUCAGCAGUGAGGAAGGUGGGUAUGUUAAUAGCAUACUCAUUUGACGUUAGCUGCAGAAGAAGCACCGGCUAACUCCGUGCCAGCAGCCGCGGUAAUACGGAGGGUGCGAGCGUUAAUCGGAAUUACUGGGCGUAAAGCGCAUGCAGGUGGUUUGUUAAGUCAGAUGUGAAAGCCCGGGGCUCAACCUCGGAAUUGCAUUUGAAACUGGCAAACUAGAGUACUGUAGAGGGGGGUAGAAUUUCAGGUGUAGCGGUGAAAUGCGUAGAGAUCUGAAGGAAUACCGGUGGCGAAGGCGGCCCCCUGGACAGAUACUGACACUCAGAUGCGAAAGCGUGGGGACGCAAACAGGAUUAGAUACCCGUGUAGGCUCUGC